rnacentral:rRNA from 1 species
UGGACAAUGGGCGCAAGCCUGAUCCAGCCAUACCGCGUGGGUGAAGAAGGCCUUCGGGUUGUAAAGCCCUUUUGUUGGGAAAGAAAUCCAGCCGGUUAAUACCUGGUUGGGAUGACGGUACCCAAAGAAUAAGCACCGGCUAACUUCGUGCCAGCAGCCGCGGUAAUACGAAGGGUGCAAGCGUUACUCGGAAUUACUGGGCGUAAAGCGUGCGUAGGUGGUUGUUUAAGUCUGUUGUGAAAGCCCUGGGCUCAACCUGGGAACUGCAGUGGAAACUGGACAACUAGAGUGUGGUAGAGGGUAGCGGAAUUCCCGGUGUAGCAGUGAAAUGCGUAGAGAUCGGGAGGAACAUCCAUGGCGAAGGCAGCUACCUGGACCAACACUGACACUGAGGCACGAAAGCGUGGGGAGCAAACAGGAUUAGAUACCCUGGUAGUCCACGCCCUAAACGAUGCGAACUGGAUGUUGGGUGCAAUUUGGCACGCAGUAUCGAAGCUAACGCGUUAAGUUCGC